ACUCAUAGCCCUGUGCGCUUAAUUCUCCAUGCCUGUGCAUCAGCAUUGCAGUAGACUUUUCCAUAUGCUCCUUCCAAUCUGAACAACAGCAUGGAUUGUUAUUUCCAACCUACAGAGGAAAGAACCGAGGCUCAGAGAAGUGAACUAAGUUGCCCAGAACGUAUUGCCGAUAAGUGGAUGAACCCGAUUAUUUAUUUAUUUAAUGAACAUACUAAGUUAUGCAUUGAGCUACGGAGAGAACAAAGAUGAAUAAAAUGUGUUGGUUCUGGCCAAGAAGAAAUUCAGCGUAGGAACGGAAGAUGGCAAUUAUACAACAAUAUGGUAAGUGCAAUGACAGCCGUACAUGGGGCAUGAGGCUAAGUACCAAGAGGGGCAUCUAAUGCAGCUGGGAUGCGCAGGGUGGACUUCCUGGAGGAGGUGGUGUUUGAACUGCGGACGAUAAGCGGGAGGUAGUUCCGUGAAGAGAGGCCGUGGGGUGGGGCAGAACAUUCCAGAAAGCGGAGGCAGCACAAUCGAGGCGUGGAACUGCAAAACAGCAAGGCAGGUGGAACUAUUAACGAGUUCCAUGUUGCACUAAGGUUGGUCCAACUGGGCUUUAUCUAACUUCGAAAUGCAAGCCCUCUUCCGCUGCGCUGGACCUCCUUAACUGGUUCAUUUUGGAGGUCGUGGCUUGUAUGGUACUUCCUGGGGGCUUUGGGUGCCCAGUUUUUACUUUUAAAAGUCCCUUGUGUAAUUAACAGAGUGUGGGAGGCGUUUCCUGGCACUUCUCCACUGUGACUUCUCAGCAGGGCUUCGGGAGUACCAGGAGGUGGCCAUGCCAAAGGCUUUUGACUGAGGGAAAGUCAACCCACCGCCCAGGGUGCCAUGACUGCCCCACGGCAUCUCGGAAGAAGUAGGCCAAAGAUCAUCAGGAAACAGUGGCUUCUGGGUUCACUGCCGCAAAGCAAGCUAUGGGAGUUUAUGUUCAGUAGACCACAACCACCUGGACAAAUGAUAACUACAGGUGGGAGCCUGUGCUUGUUGACCUCCCGAAGUCCCUUCCAAAAUGGUAGGUCCAUGAAGGGGACAGAGUGCACCGUUCAGAAAGGCUGGAACUUCCCAACACCCACGGAGAGAGGGACAUUGAUGACAGCUUCUUUCAAGAGCCAGUUUCUUACAUUUGUAGGAGCAAAAGCAAGCCCGACUUUGUGGUGACCUCCGCAAUCCCAACAUUUGCAUUUCUGCAGUGCCCCAGGUUUGCAAUGACACGCUCCAUUCCUCCAGAAGUUUUCAUUCCCGUGGCGCCAAGGCUGGGAAACUUCAGAGGCCCAGGCUGUUCUGUAGCUAACGUCAACGUGGAAUCUGCCUAAGCCUUGACUAAUGUAUUCUUUGCAUUAUUAAACACAGAUUAAAUAUAUAUGGAUAUUUAAAUGUAAUGUGUUAUUUUCCUAAAUCUCGCUCUACUCGAUGUUCCUUUGACUUACGCCUUUUCAUCGCUCAUAAUUGUCUCAGGGAUCAUGAAUUACAGGCAGGAAGGAGCUGGAGCUCCCUCAGCACCAAAGACUUUGCCGUCCCAUUACAUUUGCCCAAGAGAUGCAGCCUAGAAAAUUCUUGCUGGGGUUCUGCACAUGGGAAUGUAUUUUUUUUUUUCCUUCCUAGACAGAGCUUAUUCCUCACCAAUGAUUCAAAAGCUAAGGCGGCCAGAGCCUGACGGACG
rnacentral:lncRNA from 1 species